GAUGAACGCUAGCGGCAGGCUUAACACAUGCAAGUCGAGGGGUAACAGGGUAGCAAUACCGCUGACGACCGGCAAACGGGUGCGGAACACGUACGCAACCUACCCUUAUCUGGGGAAUAGCCCGAAGAAAUUCGGAUUAAUACCCCAUAGUAUCACUUGGUGGCAUCACCGGAUGAUUAAAGAUUUAUUGGAUAGGGAUGGGCGUGCGUCCUAUUAGCUAGUUGGUGGGGUAACGGCCUACCAAGGCGACGAUAGGUAGCUGGUGUGAGAGCACGACCAGCCACACGGGCACUGAGACACGGGCCCGACUCCUACGGGAGGCAGCAGUGAGGAAUAUUGGUCAAUGGGCGAGAGCCUGAACCAGCCAUGCCGCGUGAAGGAUGAAGGCGUUCUGCGUUGUAAACUUCUUUUAUGGGGGAAGAAACCUGAGAUUUCUAUUUCAGCCGACGGUACCCCAUGAAUAAGCACCGGCUAACUCCGUGCCAGCAGCAGCCGCCGUAAG
rnacentral:rRNA from 1 species